UACGGAGGGGGCCAGCGUUGCUCGGAAUCACUGGGCGUAAAGCGCACGUAGGCGGACUCUUAAGUCAGGGGUGAAAUCCUGGAGCUCAACUCCAGAACUGCCUUUGAUACUGGGAGUCUUGAGUUCGGGAGAGGUGAGUGGAACUGCGAGUGUAGAGGUGAAAUGCGCAGAUAUCUUGAGGAACACCGGUGGCGAAGGCGGGUCUCUGGGCCGAUACUGACGCUGAGGAGCGAAAGCGUGGGGAGCGAAGCAGG
rnacentral:rRNA from 1 species